rnacentral:rRNA from 1 species
AACGAACGCUGGCGGCAUGCCUAACACAUGCAAGUCGAACGAGACCUUCGGGUCUAGUGGCGCACGGGUGCGUAACGCGUGGGAACCUGCCCUUAGGUUCGGAAUAACUCCCCGAAAGGGGUGCUAAUACCGGAUAAUGUCUUCGGACCAAAGAUUUAUCGCCUUUGGAUGGGCCCGCGUUGGAUUAGCUAGUUGGUAGGGUAAAAGCCUACCAAGGCGACGAUCCAUAGCUGGUCUGAGAGGAUGAUCAGCGACACUGGGACUGAGACACGGCCCAGACUCCUACGGGAGGCAGCAGUGGGGAAUAUUGGACAAUGGGCGAAAGCCUGAUCCAGCAAUGCCGGGUGAGUGAUGAAGGCCUUAGGGUUGUAAAGCUCUUUUACCCGGGAUGAUAAUGACAGUACCGGGAGAAUAAGCUCCGGCUAACUACGUG